GUGCCAGCAGCCGCGGUAAUACGAACCGUCCAAACGUUAUUCGGAAUCACUGGGCUUAAAGGGUGCGUAGGCGGCCCGGUAAGUUGGGUGUGAAAUCCCUCGGCUCAACCGAGGAAUUGCGCCCAAAACUGUCGGGCUUGAGGGAGACAGAGGUGAGCGGAACUUAGGGUGGAGCGGUGAAAUGCGUUGAUAUCCUAAGGAACACCGGGGGCGAAAGCGGCUCACUGGGUCUCUUCUGACGCUGAGGCACGAAAGCUAGGGGAGCGAACGGGAUUAGAUACCCUAGUAGUCC
rnacentral:rRNA from 1 species